rnacentral:rRNA from 1 species
ACUCCUACGGGAGGCAGCAGUGGGGAAUAUUGGACAAUGGGGGGAACCCUGAUCCAGCCAUGCCGCGUGUGUGAAGAAGGCCUUUUGGUUGUAAAGCACUUUAAGCGAGGAGGAGGCUACCGAGAUUAAUACUCUUGGAUAGUGGACGUUACUCGCAGAAUAAGUACCGGCUAACUCUGUGCCAGCAGCCGCGGUAAU